AUUAGUAGCAAGUAUUACCCCAAAGCCACCAAAUCCCACCUGAUCUUGGAAUCUAAGCAUGGACAACCCCAGUUAAUACUUGAAUGGGAAAUUGCCAAUGAAUAGUAGGAACUAUGGGCU
rnacentral:rRNA from 11 species